AUGGACUCGCCGGCGUCGGCCUCCUCGCCGGUGGAGUUCCUGCUCCGGUGCCCCACGCCGAGGCGGAGGAGGCUGCCGCUGGCCGGCGCCUUCUUCGCGCCCACCGCCCUCGCCGGCGCCUCGCUGCUCCGCGCGCUCGCCUCGCUCGCCGCCGGGCUGCUCGCCACGCCGCGCCCGCCGUCGCAGCCGCGGAACUUCGCCGCGCUCGCGCGCCGCCUCGCGCUGCUCAGCGCACUCCUCGACUCGCUCCUCCUCGACGCGCCGGACCGCUUCUCCGACGCCGCCAACCUCUGCUUCCGCGAGCUCUACGUCGUGCUCUUCCGCGCCGACCUGCUCGUCUCCUACGUCGCCUCAGCCGGCCGCGCGUGGGCGCUGCUCCGGGGCGCCCACCUCGCCGCCUCCUUCCGCGACCUCGACGCCGAGCUCGCUGUCGUCCUCGACGUCAUCCCCGCCGCCUCCAUCCGCCUCUCGCACGACGCGGCCGGCCACCUCGACCUCCUCCGCUCCCAGUGCCGCCGCCGAUCGCCCGCACAGUACCACGACCCGGAUGAGGCUGCGCUACGCGACCGCCUCCUCGCCGCCGUCCAACAGUUCGAGCUCGGCCAGCCGCCUCCGCUCAAGUCGCUCCUCUCCGACGUUGGCAUCUCUGACGCUGCGUCUUGCCAAGCUGAAAUCGACUACCUUGAGGAACAAAUCUUGAGUCAAGAAGAGGAUACCGACCUCCUGCUCGUCGGUGGUGUUCUCGCCUUGCUCCGCUACAGCCUCUUCUCGCAGUUCGACCCUGGCAACGCAAAGGCGGCCCGGUAUUGGCCGUCGGCGGGAAACUUGCAGCGGCUUCCAUCGUGGGGCGGCGGCGGCUGCGACGACACCUCCUUCUCGGUGCCCAAGGAGUUCUCCUGCCCGAUUUCUUUGGAUUUGAUGCGCGACCCUGUGGUGGCGUCCACCGGCCAGACGUAUGACCGGCCAUCAAUCAUACAGUGGAUCGGGGAGGGCCAUUCCACCUGCCCAAAUUCAGGGCAGGCACUGGCAGACAACCGCCUUGUGCCGAAUCGUGCACUCCGCAGUUUGAUAUCACAGUGGUGUGGGAUGUAUUGUUUCCAGUAUGAUUCCCCAGAGAGCAACGAGGGGAUGGCCGAAUGCGUCGCCACCGCGUGCAGCAGCAAGGCGGCAAUCGAGGCAAAUAAAGCCACAGCCAGGAUUCUGGUCAGGAUGCUGGUGGAGAGUUCAGAUAGCUCAAAGGCAGUCGCUGCCAAGGAAAUUAGGUUGCUGGCCAAGGCUGGGAAGCGGAACAGAGCGUUCAUCGCCGAGCUCGGUGCAAUCCCGUUGCUCUGCAGGCUGCUCCUGUCAUCAGAUCAGAUUGCGCAAGAGAACGCAGUGACGGCGCUGCUCAAUCUCUCCAUUUACGAGCCGAACAAAACGCGGAUUAUGGAACAGGAGGGUUGCUUGUGGCUUAUCGUCAGCGUGUUGCAGAAUGGCUGGACUACAGAGGCCAGAGAGAAUGCAGCAGCAACUCUGUUUAGUCUCUCCGUGGUCCAUGAUUACAAGAAGAUGAUCAUGAAUGAGCCAGGGGCUCUGGAGAAGCUGGCUUGUAUGCUGAAAAAAGGGACGCCAAGGGGGAGGAAAGAUGCAGUGAUGGCACUUUUCAACCUCUCAACUCAUGCAGAAAGCUCAGCUCGGAUGCUUGAGUCAAGUGCAGUUGUAGCUUUAAUCGAGUCACUGAGGAACGACACCGUGUCGGAGGAAGCUGCUGGUGCUCUGGCUCUGCUCAUGAAGCAGCCUUCUGUUGUGCAUCUUGUUGGGAGCUCUGAAACUGUGAUCAGUAGCCUCGUUGGAUUAAUGAGACGGGGAACUCCAAAGGGCAAGGAGAAUGCAGUGUCCGCUCUCUACGAGAUAUGUCGCCGUGGUGGCUCAGCAUUGGUUCGGAGAGUAGCAAAGAUUCCGGGGUUGAAUACAGUAAUACAGAACAUCAUGCUCACUGGUACAAAGCGCGCCAAGAAGAAAGCAAGCUUGAUCGUCAAGAUGUGCCAAAGAAGCCAAAUGCCGUCAGCAAUGUCGCUAGGCACUAGCUUGAGGGUGGUUGAUCAUUCUUUGGUAGGUAACAGCUCAUUGAGGCGUGCUGCGAGCUUUGGCAGUGGAGAGUUGUCGAAUCCCGUUUCGAUAUCAGUGCACGUGCCCUAG
rnacentral:rRNA from 1 species